UGAGGAAUAUUGCGCAAUGGGCGAAAGCCUGACGCAGCAACGCCGCGUGAGGGACGAAGGCCUUCGGGUCGUAAACCUCUUUUCUGAGGGACGAGACAGGACGUACCUCAGGAAUCAGUCUCGGCUAACUACGUG
rnacentral:rRNA from 1 species